rnacentral:rRNA from 1 species
UACGUAGGGAGCAAGCGUUGUCCGGAAUCAUUGGGCGUAAAGCGCGCGUAGGUGGCUUGUCACGUCGGGUGUGAAAGCUUGGGGCUUAACUCCAGGUCUGCAUUCGAUACGGGCUGGCUAGAGGUAGGUAGGGGAGAACGGAAUUCCUGGUGUAGCGGUGAAAUGCGCAGAUAUCAGGAGGAACACCGGUGGCGAAGGCGGUUCUCUGGGCCUUACCUGACGCUGAGGAGCGAAAGCGUGGGGAGCGAACAGG